GUGUCCUUCACAGAAAAACCUUUUCAGCCACUGCUGCUUGCAUAAGUAUGCUUCUCACUGCUGAUUAGUGGCAUUAGAGGGAACAGGCCAUGAAACUCAUGAAUGGGAUAAACAGCACUGUGAGGAGCAACUAUGUAAUGGUGGUGGUGGGAAGCCCAUGAUCUGGUGCACAGGACUAUGCAGGGCGAGAAGACAUAAAGGCACUUUCUGAGCCCGGAAGGUCGACAAAAGGAAGAGUGACGACUGGGCCCCAUGAAAGCCACGGGAAGUUGUCUGGACCCAGUUGGUCAUCCUGCACCCUGCCUGAUGAGGUUUGGAAGAGGACCGGCUGCUCCACCCUUUCCUUAUGAUGGCAAGUCUCCGGAUCAGCAGCUUCUACACACAGAGACCCCUGCGGCACACUUUCGGUUACCGGUACCUAGUUUGUUAAGAUUUUCCACUGCCACAGCACCAGGGAUGUUACUAGGUACCGCAAAGUAGCUUGUCCUUCCACCCCUGUGGUUGACUGGCUGUGUUCUACUUGCCAAUGAUUAACAUUUCAUGCAAAACAGCUUUUCCUCUGGGAGGGGUCCUGAUGAGUAAGCAGAUUCCCUUUUUAGAAACUUCCUGUCUUUCCCCUUUUGAAAUAGGCUGGGCUUAGCCUGCCUGACCAUUAUACCCCUUUGGGGCUCUGAGGCACUAGGAAGAAACAACAAACAUUUUACAUCCAGUCAGCUACCUUAUUGCGGAACCCCUUCGAUUCAUUGUAAAUGUAUUAUGUUUCUAUAAUCAACUGACUACACAAUUAUUAGUAAUUUUGAUCAAGAGAGGGUGUCUGACCUUGAUUCAGGAAUCAAUCCCUCAGGCUUAUGAAGAAAUUGGUUCUGGAUUAUGUUUUGAUGCAGUUUUCAGUAACAAAACAUUGUGGGCAGGGAACGCGUCUACAGCCUCUUAUACUGUACCCUCCCAAGUGCUUAGUUCAGUGUUCUGCACACAGUAAGCAUUCAAUAAAUAUGGUUGAUCGAUGGAAUCAUGUCUUAAGUCUGAAGACUACCUGUGUUUUCG